rnacentral:rRNA from 1 species
AGCGAACGCUGGCGGCAGGCCUAACACAUGCAAGUCGAACGAACUCUUCGGAGUUAGUGGCGGACGGGUGAGUAACACGUGGGAACGUGCCUUUAGGUUCGGAAUAACUCAGGGAAACUUGUGCUAAUACCGAAUGUGCCCUUCGGGGGAAAGAUUUAUCGCCUUUAGAGCGGCCCGCGUCUGAUUAGCUAGUUGGUGAGGUAAAGGCUCACCAAGGCGACGAUCAGUAGCUGGUCUGAGAGGAUGAUCAGCCACAUUGGAACUGAGACACGGCCCAAACUCCUACGGGAGGCAGCAGUGGGGAAUCUUGCGCAAUGGGCGAAAGCCUGACGCAGCCAUGCCGCGUGAAUGAUGAAGGUCUUAGGAUUGUAAAAUUCUUUCACCGGGGACGAUAAUGACGGUACCCGGAGAAGAAGCCCCGGCUAACUUCGUG